CAGUCGCCGCGGGAAAACGAAGGGGGCUAGCGUUGUUCGGAUUUACUGGGCGUAAAGCGCACGUAGGCGGACUUUUAAGUCAGGGGUGAAAUCCCGGGGCUCAACCCCGGAACUGCCAUUGAUACUGGGAGUCUUGAGUUCGAGAGAGGUCAGUGGAAUUGCGAGUGUAGAGGUGAAAUUCGUAGAUAUUGGCAGGAACACCAGUGGCGAAGGCGGCUCACUGGCUCGAUACUGACGCUGAGGUGCGAAAGCGUGGGGAGCAAACAGGAUUAGAUACCCGCGUAGUCCCUGUCUCUUAUAC
rnacentral:rRNA from 1 species